rfam:Helianthus annuus linkage group 14, whole genome shotgun sequence.
GGCAAAGAUGAUUAAGUGCUUAAUAUUCUGACACCUCUUGUAUGAGAAUAGCGAAAGCUGUUCCUUGAGCACAUAAAGCUACACUCUGAGCC